GAGUUCACCCUGAUGACCUUGUCUUAAUUUGAUUUCAUCUGCAAAGACCCUAUUUCCAAGGAAGGUCACGUUCAUGGAUACUGAGGGUUAGGACUUCAGUACAGCUUUUGGGGAGACGCAGUUCACCCCAUAACAGCUGCCUAUGAUACAGUCCUGCACGCCUGCUUUAUUUUCUUGGCUGUAAAGAGAUGAUAAUAGGGUCUCCUUGGACUUCUCUUGUGGUGCAGCUGGUUAAGGAUCUGACAUUGUCACUGCAGUGGCUUGAGUCACUGCUGUGGUUCGAUCCCUGGCAUAGAAACUUCCACAUGCUGCAGGUGCAGACCAAAAACAAAAACAAAAAACAAAACAAAACAAAAAAAUUAAAAACAAAACAAAAACAGGAGUUCCCAUCGUGGCUCAGCGGAAACAAAUCUGACUAGUAUCCAUGAAGAUGCAGGUUCAAUCCCUGGCCUCACUCAGUGGGUUAACGAUUCAGUGUUGACAUGAGCUGUUGUGUAGGUUGCAGAUAUGGCUCGGAUCUGGCGUUGCUGUGGCUGUGGUGUAGGCCAGUGGCGACAGCUCCAAUUCGACUGCUAGCCUGAGAACUUCCAAAUGAUGUGGGCCUAAAAAGACAAAAAAACUAAAAGAAAACCCCAAAAGACCCAUCAGAUAAUAAUGUCUUCUUAUAGGAUUGCUGUGAAAAUUAAAUGAGAAAAGGCUUGGGAUAGUAUCUGGCUUAUAAAAAGUGCUCAUUAAGGGUUAACUUUUAUGGCCAGUCACUUCCGGUCCUGAGAUUUCACAAGUCAGUUCAUGGACAAAAUGAGGAAGUGAAUGAACCACACACCAAGUAACACUGGGACAAAGCAGAGGUUAACUCUUUCAAUGCUGUGGCCUGCAGGACUCAUUUGUACACACGUUUUGCUUCCAAGGUUGUUGUCGGCACUAAUUUUGCUCAGAUAUUUGCUUGAUUGAAAUCUCCUGCUCUUUAAAGUGACCACAAAGGAACUCUGUUGGGCCGGGUCUAGAGAAUCUAAGCCCCUAGCUGCACUGAGCUAAUGUGUCUAUCCUUUCCGGAGUGAUCCUGUAAGACAGACACACGGCUUGUGCACUGUUCAGCUCCAGGGUGCAAUUUGUAUUGUGGUCUGUGUGAAUGCUGCUGCCACCAGGAUUCCAGGGGCCACACCUGAGCCCUGUGUGGGGGUGGCCCCAGGUCCUCCCCGGGGUUACAUGAGGUUGCCGAGUAGCAUUGUCACCAUGUGAAACUUGAAUCACAUGCCGCUGUCUUUAUUCAAUAGAAAUGGGAUUCCCAAGAUUCUAAACCAUAGUCCCUACUUUGGAGAAUAUAUAUGCCUAUUAUAGUAUCCUUCAAGGUAAAACCUGAGAGUUGAUGGCAAGUCAGAUUGCUAUUUUUCUCCCUGAUUCAUCUUUGUGAAGUUGGUGUCGUCAGUUUUAUAGUUGGCAGCACAUCUGAUUUAGGAAAUAGAUGCUCCAAGUUGAAGGCCUAAAUAAAGCUUAGCUUUAGAUUGAAGUCCAAUAAAGGAAUUAUCUAUAGUUAGUUCACUUAUUUCUGGUACAAGUCAGUUGCACAUCUGAAAAUACAGGCUUGAACUUGCCUGCUCAUUUAGUGGUGCUGAUCAUCUGAAAUGCUGGUUAUUGGAAAGGUUGUAGUUUCAUUAUGGAAUAUACUUUGAACUUAAUUUGUAUGUGGGUCUGUUGGUCUUCUGGGAAUUCUUCCCUAGAGACCUAUUGAAGAUGUGCUGUAGCUAUUUGGUUUAUGGGUUGUUGAAGUGCUAGUUAUUUUAAUAUACUCCUUUUUUCUUCCCAAAGCUAAUAAUCAAGCAAUAAUAUUUAAGUGGGACCCAUUUACUUUAUAUUGAGAGUUAUUAUUACUUUAAUUCAUGUUUCUUUUCCCUUGAAAUUCUGAUAUAUCGUUCUGUGCAUCUUUUUGUAUAUUAAUUGUUUUCCUUUCUGGUAUUAAUUACUACAACUGCAGCACUGAAUAUUAUUGCACACUUAUAUGCCAGGCAUUAUGCUAAUGGCUUUAGAUAGAUUAUUAUCAUUUAAUUUUUAUAUCCAGACUCAACUUUUCAGUAGUGUCUGUUCAAAUUCACAUUUUAUAACGAGGAUCUGAGACCUCAGGAAACAAACUCACUGAAGUUACAUGUUUGCGAGUGGUGGAGACAGGAUUGGAACCCAGAUCUUCUGGCUUUGGAUCCCACGCUUCUUUUUUUUUUUUUAAUUUUUAAAAUUUUUUUUGUCUUUUUGCCAUUUCUUGGGUCGCUCCCGCGGCAUAUGGAGGUUCCUAGACUAGGGGUCCAGUCGGAGCUGUAGCCGCCGGCCUAUGCCAGAGCCACAGCAACGCGGGAUCUGAGCUGCGUCUGCAACCUACACCACAGCUCACAGCAAUGCCGGAUCCUUAACCCACCGAGCAAGGGCAGGGAUCGAACCCGCAACCUCAUGGUUCCUAGUCGGAUUCGUUAACCACUGCGCCACGAUGGGAACUCCUUUUUAAUUAAUUAAUUAAUUAAUUUAUUUAUUUAUUUAUUUUGGAUCCCACGCUUCUUAACCCAGCACUCUUGAUAUUGCAGAUACAGGCAAAUCUUUGCAUUCAAGGAGAAAAUUACAGGCACAAUCUACGACUUUUCAUUGAUUCGAAAGGCCUCUGCAUUUUCACGUACUGUGAAUUUUGGGUCAGUGGAUUGAUUCAUUUUGCUUAAUCUGUUUUGUUCAAGUUGACAUCAUGCUAAUUUGCACAGGCAGUAGCUGAAAGCAGUGGGAAGUACCCCAAGAGAACUCUGGGUUGCAAGAUAUGUUAGCAAGGAAUUAAGAAAUCCACAGACUUCAUACAUAGAGAACCUUGAGAACUGACUCAGUUGUUAUCAAGAUAAAAACUAUGGCCCAAAGUAUAUGUUUUAGAACAUAGGAUGUUACUUGGUUUUGUAUAAUAAAUAAUACCAAAAUCAAAUCAUCUUAGAUAAUCGGUUUAAAAAGUUAAAUAGGGUUUUGUAAUUUCAGAAAACUGUCAAGGCCUUUAAUAUAUAUAUAUAUGUUAUUGCAUUGCAAUCCCCAAGAAGGAAAAAAAAAAAGGUGUAUUAAGUGUUUGGGGAAUGUACCUGACAAUUAUUUGAUUAUUUGUUCUUGUUUUGUUCUGGCAGAUAAGAUUUGUCGUAAGUCACCCAUGAUGUAUUCUUUUAGAUUUUUUUCAGUCUAGCAAUUACGAUGACUUUGAUGGUAAGUAACAGAAGAUAUGGUGCCAAAUGGUUUAAACAGUAAAAGUUUAUAUAAGUGAAAAGGUUAGAGGUUAAAGUUUCUAUAGGGAGCUAUAGAAUUAGUUACUAGCUUGAUUUAGCCACUCCCUACGUCAUUUAGGGUUUGGUUUCCUUUUGUUUUUCUUUCUCUGCCAGAGUUGAACCUAGGAGCUGAGCAAGGGGCAAAUUCUCUUAGCUAAUGAGCAAGGUGAUUACCAAAGAAUGGCAGGAUGGAAAUCUGGUACUUUUUACCGAGAGUGAACGGGAACAUGGGUGUUUGAGAGAGGCAGCCAACGAAUGUCCACCGUGGCCAGUGACCUGUGUACCUGUAACUUAGAUUAAUGAAGAUAUUAAUCUCCUCUCUUCUUUGCCUCUUAUGUGUUGACAUUCUAUACGUAGUGUAUAGGCUUUUUCUCUGCUUCAGAUGUUUUUGGUGACUAUUUCUAUAAUUACCGCUAAACACAGAAAGAUUUUCUAGCCGCUUUCUUAGAGGUGGCAUUCUGCGUAUUUCCUUUUCCCAUAUAGCAGUCCCAUAGAUGUGAUCAGAUAUUAGUGUUGACUGCCAACAUCCAAGAAAACUUUAAAAAAUUUUCUUAGCAGCAUGAAUGCCUUUAUGACAUGUUACCCAUUAUAUGAUUCAGAUUUACACUUAAUAUUACUUUGAUGUGAAAGUGUCCCAGCGGAUGUAAAGGGAGUUCUCCUAAUUUACUCUUUCACAUUGCUGUUUGCAGGUUUCCCCUCGGUUCUCAGAAAAGUACUGAAGGAUGUUUCACAGAGUGACAGGCCGAUGUUUCUUGUUUUAGGGAGCAAGAAAAAGAGAACUAAGUGCUGUAAGCUUGCGUGUCACAUCGACACUCACUUUGAGCCCUGGGGAUUUCAUCUGAGAAGUGAGAAAUGCCUUCAAAUGACUUGGUUCAUUUGGUGGUUGCCUGUUUUCACCAUGUUGUACCAACUGAUAUGUCUUUCUGCUCAGUAAAGGGAUUGAAUGGCUGCUCUGUGCAAGGUCUUUUGUGCGGAGUCUAAGUUGGUGGAGAGACUUUCCAUAGCAGUGCAGCCUUUUUGGCCUUUUAAUCUGGUCAGGGAGAUGAGACAGGAACACAAAUAACUAAGACAAAGGGUCAAGUGCGGAGGGAGGCACAGAAAAGUCUGGGAGGAGAGAAAGAUUCCUGAGGAGAUGAGGAGUCCUCUGCAGGUGGAGGAAGGGAGAAGAAUGGGAACUUUAGACAGAGGAAGAGUUAGGGGAAGGGUAAAUAAUCUAGUCUGGUGAGGGUUUAAAUAUUAUGAAGCAGUUAAAGAAAGAAGAAAAGAAUUCUUGUACUGGCGAUUUUUUGUUGUAUAAUAAUUUAGCCCACAACUUAGUGGCUAAGCCAACAAUGAGUCUUUAUUCUAUUUUAUGGUUUCUAUGGGUCAGGAAUCCAGGAGCAUCUUGGUUGAUGGGUUCUAGCUGAGGGUGUGGCCCGAGGGGAUAGAUGCAGGACAGCUGGGGCUGUUGUCAUCUGAAGGCCCAACUACGGCUGGAAGAUUUGACCCAAGGUGGUUCAUUCAUAUGGCUGGUAAGUUGGUGCUUGUUCUCUUGACAUGACAGCUGGCCUCUCCCAAAGUGAACUUUUGAGACAGAGGUAGUCAAGUGGCAGCUGUAUCCUUUUUACAGUCGAGCCUUGGAAACCACAUGGCAUCAUUUCUUAAGCAUUCUGUGUUUUAGAAGAGGCCAGUCUAAGCGGAGGGCGAACUAGGAGUCAUUUUUUAAAGGGAGGAGUGUCAAAAAUGUGCACAUAUAAUUUUAAAACCACUGCUAUUCUUGAAAGAAGAAAUGACAGAAGCAAAAACAAUGGUUGCAUUGCAGUGGUUUGCCUUUAGUUGUGUCUACCACAGUAGUUGCGCAGUUGGCAUGCUAGACUGUUUUGAUCGGUAAACUAUGGUGUAAAUAAUGUUAAAAGUGUAUUUGCAUCUACUAAACUAGUUAUUUCAAAUAAAAAUUGGUAGUUCAGUCAAAAGGUUUCUUGUAGCAGAAACUUACUACGUAAGAGAGGUAAAGCAGAAGUGACUCAGGCUGAGGUGACCGUGGAAGGACACAGCCUCCUAUUAGCACCCAGGACGGCCCCGCAGACACUUUGGACCCUGAGAAUGGCACCCAGUCUGAAAGCCAUGCCACGGAUCCACCCAAAUCCUUUUUGAUUUUUUUUCGAGACCUCAGUCGGUUCUUUUGAAGAACUCUUUCCUAUUCAAGGCUUUAGAAUGCAUUGUAAAUUGUAUUCUAAUCAUAAGAAUUAUUUUCUGUAAUUUAAAUAAUGUGGUUGAGCCAUGACAUUGAAUGCUGGUUAGUAUUGUUUCAUUCAAAUUGCUUGUUUUGUGGAUGGAAGUUGAGAGUGAGGAGGGGAUUUUAAUUUGAACAGAUUUUUUUCCCCCUCUGUGGAACACAUGUUAGUUAAAUACACACUUGGGACUGAAAUAUAGAGCGAUGGUUACAGCAGUGAAAGACGGGAACCACCGUUCUCAUGCUGGUAUCAAAACUAAAAGCCAUCCAUGACCAUGUGACCUCAAAACCAUCACAAUAUUACUGCUGGAGUGGGAGGCAAACUUCUGAGAAAUGGAGAAUGUUCGCUUUGGAGUGAGUGUUUUUGAUAAUUACCAGAAGUAACAGGGGAAAUUUUCAUGAACCAGAUAAGGAAAAAUAUGCUCAUUAGUUAUAUGAAUGUUAGUUUUCUCGACACAAUAAUAUACUGCUAAAGUCUGCUACCCCCUUCAAAAAAAAAAAGUCAUUUUUGGAGAUUCUGCUGUGGUGCAGUGGAUUAAGGAUCUAGCUUCUCUCUGUGGCAGCGCUGGUUCAAUCCCUGGCCUGGCAUAGUGGCUUAAAGGAUCUGGCACUGCUGUAGCUACAGUUUGAGUUUGAUCCCUGGCCCAGGAACUUCCAUAUGCCAUG
rnacentral:lncRNA from 9 species